rnacentral:ncRNA from 1 species
CGACCCCAGGUCAGUCGGGACUACCCGCUGAGUUUAAGCAUAUAAAUAAGCGGAGGAGAAGAAACUUACGAGGAUUCCCCUAGUAACGGCGAGCGAACCGGGAGCAGCCCAGCUUGAGAAUCGGGCGGCCUCGCCGCCCGAAUUGUAGUCUGGAGAGGCGUCCUCAGCGACGGACCGGGCCCAAGUUCUCUGGAAAGGGACGCCUGGGAGGGUGAGAGCCCCGUCCGGCCCGGACCCUGUCGCACCACGAGGCGCCGUCAACGAGUCGGGUUGUUUGGGAAUGCAGCCCAAAUCGGGCGGUAAACUCCGUCCAAGGCUAAAUACAGGCGAGAGACCGAUAGCGAACAAGUACCGCGAGGGAAAGAUGAAAAGGACUUUGAAAAGAGAGUCAAAGAGUGCUUGAAAUUGCCGGGAGGGAAGCGGAUGGGGGCUGGCGACGCGCACCGGCCGUAUGCGGAACGGCUCCUGCUGGUCCGC